UACGUAGGGUGCAAGCGUUAAUCGGAAUUACUGGGCGUAAAGCGUGCGCAGGCGGUUAUUCAAGACAGAUGUGAAAUCCCCGGGCUCAACCUGGGAACUGCAUUUGUGACUGGAUGACUAGAGUACGGCAGAGGGGAUGGAAUUCCGCGUGUAGCAGUGAAAUGCGUAGAUAUGCGGAGGAACACCGAUGGCGAAGGCAAUCCCCCUGGACCUGUACUGACGCUCAUGCACGAAAGCGUGGGGAGCAAACAGG
rnacentral:rRNA from 1 species